rnacentral:rRNA from 1 species
AUUGAACGCUGGCGGCAGGCCUAACACAUGCAAGUCGAACGAGUGGCAGACGGGUGAGUAAUGUCUGGGAAACUGCCUGCUGGCGGGGGAUAACUACUGGAAACGGUAGCUAAUACCGCCUAACCUCCUCUGCUCCCAGAUGGGAUGAGCUCGUGGGUGGGGUAACGGCUCACCUAUGCGACGUUCCCUCGCUGGUCUGAGAGGAUGACCAGCGACACUGGAACUGAGACACGGUCCAGACACCUGCGGGAGGCAGCAGUGGGGAAUAUUGCACAAUGGGCGCAAGCCUGAUGCAGCCAUGCCGCGUGUAUGAAGAAGGCCUGCGGGUUGUAAAGUACUUUAAGCGGGGAGGCGUUACCCGAAGAAGAAGCACCGGCUAACUCCGUGCCAGCAGCCGCGGUAAUAC